rfam:Colletotrichum orchidophilum strain IMI 309357 Scaffold_162.1, whole genome shotgun sequence.
GCACCAGAUUGGAAGCUGCAGGAGUGGGGGGCUACGUAGGAAGGGGUCAUUCCGCACGCCCGGCAACACUGUACGUUUUCACUCAAAAACAGCACAACAGAGCAGUGCGAACAAGGCCAGCGCUAUCUUGAACGACCUGCUGCAGCGUUCCUUCAGCGGGAUGAGCAAGCCACCAAAAAAAAGAGAAAAGAAAUCAAAAGAGAUUCUAUAAGUAGCGUGAGUGAAAGUAGAGGAGCCUAUUUAGUAAUAAGUAAAAUGGUUUAGAAACUGUUUGAAUUUAAUGGGGAACCUUCCUCAAAGGCUAAAUAUAAUACAUAAGCGAUAGUGAAUAGUAUCGUGAGAUAAUGAUUAGAAUUAGUAGUUUUAUAAGCAGUUCGAGCCAAAGUGAGAACGUACCUUUUGCAUAAUGGGUCACCAAGUUAACAUUAGAUGCGAGUGAAAGCGUAGGUAAACCAAUCGUUAAAAGAACGAAGAGUGUCUAAAGUUAGACCCGAAGCCUGGUGAUUUUACCAUAAUCAGGAUUAUAAAAGUCCGAACGGGUUAUCGUUGUAAAGAUAUCCGAAGAAUUAUGGUAGGUAGUGAAAGACAACACUGACUAGGAUAGCUGGUUUUCUGCGAAACCUAUAACAGUAGGCAAUUUGAGUAACAUCUUAGCAGGUACAGAAUUUAAUCUCAGACAAGAUGUUCUAAUUUUAGUUCGGCGACGAACUAAAACAACAUGUUGAUUUGUAUAUAUCGGGGGAUCGUGAAGAUUUUAUCGGUGAGUAUGUAGACUCGGAAUGGCAAAGAUGGAUCUUGAAUUAUCAGACAUAGAAUGAUAAGGUUGUAUGUCAAAAGGGAAACAGCCCAGAACAAGAGUUAAGGUUCCAAAAUUAUUAGUUAAGUGAAAUUAAGAAGGUUAUUAUUAAAGUCGACAAGGAGAUGGGCUUAGAAGCAGCCAAAUUUUGAAGACCUCGUAACAGAGCGCUUGUUAAGUUUUAAAAGCAUCGAAAAUUUAACGGAUCUAAACAAUAUACCGACACCUUGUCCAUAUUUUACUAUAUAUAUUAUUGUAAUUUUGUGGGGUAGCAGAACGUUGAAUUAAAUUAAGAUAUUUCUUCUGUGAAGAAAUAUAUAACAAACAAUUCAAGUGAGAAUGGUGACAUGAGUAACGAAUAAGAAGGACAUUUUAAAGAAAAAGUAUAGUAAAAACCUCCCUACGUCCAAAAUAAUGGUAAAGAGGGAUUCCUCCAAGAGGGAUAAAACCUUCUACAUGGAGAAGGUUUUUACUAGAGCUUGAGUAAGAAUUAAAUCCUCCGCCUAAAGCUUAUGGAUGGAAAGAUAAACCCCUUAAAGUAACGGCCUCUAAGUUAUAAAUCUAAAGGUUUAAACGAUGAGAAAAUCUUUUUUACUAAAUGACAACACUUAUAAGUGAUAAGUGUGCUGGAAAAAAUAGUAAUAUAUUUUGUUAAGUAUAUACAAUAAACUAAAAAGAUGAGUAUAGAAAGAGAAGAUGAAAAAAUAACCGUACCUAGAAACUAAAACAAGUAAGCUAGUAGAGAAUACGAAGGCGUAAAUGAGCUAACAAUCAUAAAGGAACUCGGCAAACUAACUACCGUAACUUCGGGAUAAGGAGAGCUCAUUAGUCCUGAUUAAUAUCGGGUAAAAAGGAAGAAGCAUAAAAUAGUGUUGUACGACUGUUUAAUUAAAACACAGCACUUUGCUAAAAGAUUAAAAAUCGAAGUAUUGAGUGUGAUGUCUGCCCGAUGCCGGCUGGUUAACGAAUUUAACUAAAUUGAUCAAUAAAUUUGGUGUUGAAGGAACCCCCGGUUAAUGGCGGCCUUAACGUGAGGGUCCUAAGGUAGCGAAAUGCCUUGGCCGUUAAAUGCGGUCUUGCAUGAAUGAUGUAACGAUACAACAGCUGUCUCUAUGAUUGACUCAGUGAAAUUGGAAUAACUGUGCAGAUACAGUUUACCUCUAGUUAGACGAGAAGACCCUAUGCAGCUUUACUGUUACUAAUUAUAGGGUAUGAUGAAUUAACUUUCAGAUUAUAAGGUACAUUGAUUCAAUAAAAAUGAAAAUCCUUUAUUUUCACGUCAUACUUCAGAAUUAAUUUUGGAAAUUCACCGUGCUGGUAGGGCGACGACUUCGUCGUCGCCCCUGAAGGCGGAGUGAAAGAAAAGAUUAACCUAGUCUGACAUAUAAGUAGCCUUAGGUAAGGAAUAUAUUGUUAGGAGACAGUUUAUGUGGGGCACAGACCCCUUAAAGAGUAAAAGGGAGUGUCUAAA